rnacentral:rRNA from 1 species
CGAGACCUUCGGGUCUAGUGGCGCACGGGUGCGUAACGCGUGGGAAUCUGCCCUUAGGUACGGAAUAACUCAGAGAAAUUUGUGCUAAUACCGUAUGAUGUCGAAAGACCAAAGAUUUAUCGCCUGAGGAUGAGCCCGCGUAAGAUUAGCUUGUUGGUGAGGUAAAAGCUCACCAAGGCGACGAUCUUUAGCUGGUCUGAGAGGAUGAUCAGCCACACUGGGACUGAGACACGGCCCAGACUCCUACGGGAGGCAGCAGUGGGGAAUAUUGGACAAUGGGCGAAAGCCUGAUCCAGCAAUGCCGCGUGAGUGAUGAAGGCCUUAGGGUUGUAAAGCUCUUUUACCAGGGAUGAUAAUGACAGUACCUGGAGAAUAAGCUCCGGCUAACUCCGUGCCAGCAGCCGCGGUAAUACGGAGGGAGCUAGCGUUGUUCGGAAUUACUGGGCGUAAAGCGUACGUAGGCGGUUAUCCAAGUCAGAGGUGAAAGCCUGGAGCUCAACUC